CAAUAGCGUAUAUUAACGUUGUUGCAGUUAGAACGCUCGUAGUCGGAUUUCGGGGCGGGCCGACCGGUCUGCCGAUGGGUACGCACUGGUCGGCGCGUCCUUCCUUCCGGAGACCGUGCCUACUCUUAACUGAGCGGGGGCGGGAGACGGAACGUUUACUUUGAAAAAAUCAGAGUGUUUCAAGCAGGCAGUGCGCUCUUGCAUGGAUUAGCAUGGGAUAAUGAAAUAGGACUUUGGUGCUAUUUUGUUGGUUUCGAACACCGAAGUAAUGAUUAAAAGGGACAGUCAGGGGCACUCGUAUUCCGCCGAGAGAGGUGAAAUUCUCAGACCAGCGGAAGACGAACCACUGCGAAAGCAUUUGCCAGGGAUGUUUUCACUGA
rnacentral:rRNA from 1 species